GUCGACGAACUCUGGUAUUGAUUGGUGCUUGCAUCAUGAUUUACAUUUGAGUGAGUGGCGAACUGGUGAGUAACACGUGGGAAACCUGCCCAGAAGCGGGGGAUAACACCUGGAAACAGAUGCUAAUACCGCAUAACAACUUGGACCGCAUGGUCCGAGUUUGAAAGAUGGCUUCGGCUAUCACUUUUGGAUGGUCCCGCGGCGUAUUAGCUAGAUGGUGGGGUAACGGCUCACCAUGGCAAUGAUACGUAGCCGACCUGAGAGGGUAAUCGGCCACAUUGGGACUGAGACACGGCCCAAACUCCUACGGGAGGCAGCAGUAGGGAAUCUUCCACAAUGGACGAAAGUCUGAUGGAGCAACGCCGCGUGAGUGAAGAAGGGUUUCGGCUCGUAAAACUCUGUUGUUAAAGAAGAACAUAUCUGAGAGUAACUGUUCAGGUAUUGACGGUAUUUAACCAGAAAGCCACGGCUAACUACGUGCCAGCAGCCGCGGUAAUACGUAGGUGGCAAGCGUUGUCCGGAUUUAUUGGGCGUAAAGCGAGCGCAGGCGGUUUUUUAAGUCUGAUGUGAAAGCCUUCGGCUCAACCGAAGAAGUGCAUCGGAAACUGGGAAACUUGAGUGCAGAAGAGGACAGUGGAACUCCAUGUGUAGCGGUGAAAUGCGUAGAUAUAUGGAAGAACACCAGUGGCGAAGGCGGCUGUCUGGUCUGUAACUGACGCUGA
rnacentral:rRNA from 1 species